UUAUCUUCGGCUGUACAUAUACUAAAAUUGGAACGAUAUAGAGAUUAGCAUGGCCCCUGCGCAAGGAUGACACGCAAAAUCGUGAAGCGUUCCGUAUUUUU
rnacentral:snRNA from 1 species